rnacentral:rRNA from 1 species
GAGUUUGAUCUUGGCUCAGGAUGAACGCUAGCGGCAGGCUUAACACAUGCAAGUCGAGGGGUAGAGUUAGCUUGCUAACUUGAGACCGGCGCACGGGUGCGUAACGCGUAUGCAAUCUACCUUGUACAGGGGGAUAGCCCAGAGAAAUUUGGAUUAAUACCCCAUAGUGUUAUGAUGUGGCAUCACAUUAUAACUAAAGUUCCAACGGUACAAGAUGAGCAUGCGUCCCAUUAGCUAGUUGGUGUGGUAACGGCAUACCAAGGCAACGAUGGGUAGGGGUCCUGAGAGGGAGAUCCCCCACACUGGUACUGAGACACGGACCAGACUCCUACGGGAGGCAGCAGUGAGGAAUAUUGGUCAAUGGGCGCAAGCCUGAACCAGCCAUGCCGCGUGCAGGAUGACGGUCCUAUGGAUUGUAAACUGCUUUUGUACAGGAAGAAACACUCCCUCGUGAGGGAGCUUGACGGUACUGUAAGAAUAAGGAUCGGCUAACUCCGUGCCAGCC